GGCCCACACACAGGAGGGUGGGUAGGGAGAGUUACUGAAAUUCAAAACUGUUACUAAUUGUAGAUUUUGUAAUCUUCAAGAGCACUGCAUGUAGAAAUGAACACCCACUCCCCAUUUUAAAGGGGAACUGAAGACCUUUCCGGAUUUUGGUGUAAUUUUAUGAAUAUAAACUUGGGACAAGUUCGUCAAAACAACCAUGACAUUAUCAACACGUAAUUGUAAGGAUAAUUUGCGUUUUUUUAGUUUUUUUGCACUCCGUUAAUGGUCCCUUCGCAAACCCGGAAGUGUGACGUAGGCAACAGAAGACUAUCCACAGCUAACAUAGCAGCAACAACGAUGUCAGUGAUAUUUCCACCAAAGGUAACCAUUCAGGAUCGCUCUUUCGUGACGCUACCGAUGGCAAAGGCUCCCAGGAAAGAUGAACUACAAUUAAUCCCUACAUGUUUGAACCUGAGGCGUCAGAUGACGGCGAUUUACUUGACACAGCAGAUGGCGUCAUGACGCCAAUUGACAGCUCGACACUUCACGAACGGGAGAGUGGUGUUGCUGUAAACCGUCAAGUAAUUACCCUUCCAAGAGUAUGCCUGUGUCAUCAGGAGAUCCCAGACGUGAGAGCCAAACUUGCGGAGGCUGAAGCACUGACAGGGGCAUGAAUUUCAUUAAAAAAAUAAAACCAUAAAUUGUUAACAACA